rnacentral:rRNA from 1 species
AGAUGCUGGCGACCGGCAAACGGGUGCGGAACACGUACGCAACCUUCCUUYAAGUGGGGRAUAGCCCGGGGAAACCCGGAUUAAUACCCCGUAAUAUURUGARRUGGCAUCAYYUUAUAAUUAUAGCWCMRGCGCUURWAGAUGGGCGUGCGCCUGAUUAGGUAGUUGGCGGGGUAAYGGCCCACCAAGCCUACGAUCAGUAACUGGUGUGAGAGCACGACCAGUCACACGGGCACUGAGACACGGGCCCGACUCCUACGGGAGGCAGCAGUAAGGAAUAUUGGUCAAUGGACGCAAGUCUGAACCAGCCAUGCCGCGUGGAGGAUGAAGGUCCUCUGGAUUGUAAACUUCUUUUAUCUGAGAAGAAACCCGGAAAUUCUUUUCCGGCUGACGGUACCAGAUGAAUAAGCACCGGCUAACUCCGUGCCAGCAGCCGCGGUAAUACGGAGGGUGCAAGCGUUAUCCGGAUUCACUGGGUUUAAAGGGUGCGUAGGUGGAUYGGUAAGUCCGUGGUGAAAUCCCCGAGCUUAACUCGGGAACUGCCGUGGAUACUAUCRAUCUUGAAUACUGUGGAGGUAAGCGGAAUAUGUCAUGUAGCGGUGAAAUGCUUAGAUAUGACAUAGAACACCGAUNGCGGAGGCAGCUUGCUACACAGUCAUUGACACUGAGGCACGAAAG